rnacentral:rRNA from 1 species
GACGUAGGGCGCGAGCGUUGUCCGGAUUUAUUGGGCGUAAAGAGCUCGUAGGCGGCUUGUUGCGUCGACCGUGAAAACCCGCGGCUUAACUGCGGGCUUGCGGUUGAUACGGGCGGGCUGGAGUUCGGUAGGGGAGACUGGAAUUCCUGGUGUAGCGGUGAAAUGCGCAGAUAUCAGGAGGAACACCGGUGGCGAAGGCGGGUCUCUGGGCAGUUCCUGACGCUGAGGCACGAAAGCCAGGGGAGCAAACGGG